AGUGAACGCUGGCGGUAGGCCUAACACAUGCAAGUCGAACGGCAGCACAGUAAGAGCUUGCUCUUACGGGUGGCGAGUGGCGGACGGGUGAGGAAUACAUCGGAAUCUACUUUUUCGUGGGGGAUAACGUAGGGAAACUUACGCUAAUACCGCAUACGACCUACGGGUGAAAGCAGGGGAUCUUCGGACCUUGCGCGAUUGAAUGAGCCGAUGUCGGAUUGGCUAGUUGGCGGGGUAAAGGCCCACAAGGCCACGGCACCUAGGCGGACCGGAAGGGAGAAUCGCCACCCUUGAACUUGAGAAACGUCCAGACUCCUACGGGGAGCAGCAGUUGGGAAUUUUGGGCAAUGGGGGGAAGCCUGACGCAGCCAAGACGCGGGGGGGAAGAAGGGCUUCGGGUUGGAAAACCCUUUUUUUUGGGAAGAAAAACAGGCAGGUUAACUCCCCGCGGUUUGACGGUACCCAAAAAAAAAGCCACGGCUAACUUCGUG
rnacentral:rRNA from 1 species